UUUCCCACUCCCAAAAUCUCCUAAACGUGUUCUCUCUCCCUGGCCUUAAAAAAAAAACGGCUAUAGACCCUCUCCUUUCUCUUCUUUUUUUCCUUUCUACCUCCUAAAAAUGGCAGUCAUAGUUGCGCCAUGGCUGUCACCCUACAGGACUGCUCACAUCUUGUCAUUCUCAGACCCGUAAAACCUUUGACAUAAGAAAAUCAGAUCCAAAAUGAUAUAACAACUCAUCUAUGGUAUCAAAUCCUCCAUGAAUGACCUAAAAAGGCUGAAAAUUAGAGACAUUUGCUUUAGAAAUUUGGAUUCAAAUUUCAAAUCCUCUUUUCUCCCACAUUUUGCUUAAUUAUUGUCUCAAAUCUGAACUUUGAAGUCUGAAUUUUGACUAUAAAUAGCCAAAUUUCCAUUCCCAUGAGGGCAGAGAGGAAAAGGGAUCAAAAAGAGGAAGAAAGGUUAAGAAAUCAAAGUGAGAGGUUUGGAAGUUAAGAACAAAAAAAGUUGAAAAGGAAAAAAAGAGUGAAAAACCAGUGAAAGUAUGAAAAAACAGAGAGAAAAAAUUGACGCAAGUGGAAUAUUCACAGGAAGUCUCAAAUUUGUUGGUUUCUUCUCGAUUUUGAUCUAAGUUUGGAGUUUUCAGUUUGUAGCUGAAAAGAAACCUUAACGUUGGAGCCUUAGUUUUGUUGCCCCAUACAAGGUGAAAUUCUAUCCCGUCUAAUUACAUGGUAUUUAGUUUUGGAAUUUGUUGAUAGUUUGAGUUCGUUGGUUGAUCCUAGAUAUGAAUGUGAAGUAAAUACUGUUGGUAUGUUUGCUUUGUUCAUGUUAAGUGGUGUAUUUUUGUAAAUGUUAAUGGUUUGAAGUUUGAGUUUUCAAAUUACAUUAGAUAUUUUGUUUCGCUAGUUGUGGAUAAGAACUCGAUGCAGUAGUUUUCGUACCAUUUGAUAUAUUUGGUGAUAGUCUAAUUGACUAUGGAAUAAACUCGAUGAAGCUUUGUGUUUCAUGACAUAUUCUUGGUGAGUUGUUUGGGGUCAUUUGAUGUCGGUUUAGAUGCUUUAACGUGGUAACGAUGGCUUGGCUCUACACUAAUUUGCUUUGUGUAUUCAUAAGUUGCUGGCGAUUUUAAUUCCAUGUGAAAAAGAGCUCCAAAGGGCUUAAAACCUUACAAUUCUUGGUUGCAUCACAAUAGUUUUAUACUUUAUUGUAUUUAAUUCUCGAACAUGUGUAGAUAGUUGCUUGUCUUGCUUAAUACGGUUGUCCAUUUUCCACAGAUUAAGGUUGGUUUUGAAUGUGUUUCACAUCAUAUUUGGAUAUAGGGAAUAAAGUACAAUUUAUGUUUCCUUCUCAUAAUUAUUUUCUUCUUUCAGGUUUAGCAUGUUUAUAUGAACUCACAUAUGAAUAUUUGUCCGUCUAGACUUGAAAAAAUAUAAUUGUAGUAUAUGUUAGUGGUUUGUUUACUGUUUGGUAUAUUUUUUGUUAUCAAGUUACAACUUUGUUGUCAUUAUAGAAGUGUAUGAAUAUACUUUCAUGGAAUUUGUAAAAUCAUGUUUAGCUGCAAGUUUUGUUAUUAGCUCUAUAUCUGUGAUCUAAGGAUGACUUACGGAUUCUAGUCUUGCUUUUCCUGUGUGCUUUUAUUCUCGGUCCAUGGAAUCACGGAUUAAAUAUUCAUUUGGAUCUUGAUAUGCUAUCUGCAUGAAGUGCUUGUAUUCAAAAGACUCAAGCUCUCCCUCACGUGUGUGUAUAUAUAUAUAUAUCUUUAUUAAAUCGUUACUAAUCCUUAUCCUUCUUUUUUACAUGUGCACUCGGGAGUUGGAGUUUCAUUUGAAACUCGUUUUGACCUAAGCAUUGGGUCAACCAUUACAGGAUUGUCCACCUUCAGGGUGUACAUCGUUAGGAUUGUGCGUUUGAAGUCACUCCUUAUUGAGACAACAAGUGAACUAUCAAGAAGAAGUUUCCUGUCCAUGAAUCCUGAGAUGGUUGUCAGCCAAAAUUGAUAAAAAUGCAAAAAAAAUCUAUCUCUUCAACCCCCUGGAGGAUGCACUUUUCAGGUGGAUGUCAUAGUAGAAGCUACUGCUGAACAACAUUGACAAUAUACUACUCUUUUUAUGAAACUACGAAGAAGCAAAAGCGAAAAAACCGUACGCAAGCGACAUUAAAGAUCCACGACGACCAAAGCCGAAUUCCAUAGCAUCGGAUGAAGAACAACUUGUCCAUAUUGAGUAGAUCUUUAUAGCUUGAGUCUUUCAAAGUAAUAACCUCAC